UUACCUCAGUAACGGCGAGUGAAGCGGUAACAGCUCAAAUUUGAAAUCUGGCUCUUUUAGGGUUCGAGUUGUAAUUUGUAGAAGAUGCUUUGGGUGUGGCCCUGGUCUAAGUUCCUUGGAACAGGACGUCAUAGAGGGUGAGAAUCCCGUAUGUGACUAGGCGCUUUCGCCCGUGUAAAGCUCUUUCGACGAGUCGAGUUGUUUGGGAAUGCAGCUCAAAAUGGGUGGUAAAUUUCAUCUAAAGCUAAAUAUUGGCCAGAGACCGAUAGCGCACAAGUAGAGUGAUCGAAAGAUGAAAAGCACUUUGGAAAGAGAGUUAAACAGUACGUGAAAUUGUUGAAAGGGAAGCGCUUGCAACCAGACUUAGUUGCGGCUGAUCAUCCAGGGUUCUCCCUGGUGCACUCGGUCGUAUCUAGGCCAGCAUCGGUUUGGGUGGUGGGAUAAAGGCCUUGGGAAUGUAGCUUCUUUCGGGGAGUGUUAUAGCCCUCGGUGCAAUGCCGCCUACCUGGACCGAGGACCGCGCUUCGGCUAGGAUGCUGGCGUAAUGGUUGUAAGCGAC
rnacentral:rRNA from 1 species